rnacentral:rRNA from 1 species
AGCGAACGCUGGCGGCAGGCCUAACACAUGCAAGUCGAACGAACUCUUCGGAGUUAGUGGCGGACGGGUGAGUAACACGUGGGAACGUGCCUUUAGGUUCGGAAUAACUCAGGGAAACUUGUGCUAAUACCGAAUGUGCCCUUCGGGGGAAAGAUUUAUCGCCUUUAGAGCGGCCCGCGUCUGAUUAGCUAGUUGGUGAGGUAAAGGCUCACCAAGGCGACGAUCAGUAGCUGGUCUGAGAGGAUGAUCAGCCACAUUGGGACUGAGACACGGCCCAAACUCCUACGGGAGGCAGCAGUGGGGAAUCUCGCGCAAUGGGCGAAAGCCUGACGCAGCCAUGCCGCGUGAAUGAUGAAGGUCUUAGGAUUGUAAAAUUCUUUCACCGGGGACGAUAAUGACGGUACCCGGAGAAGAAGCCCCGGCUAACUUCGUG